GCGAACUUUUAUCUGAGUCCUUGGCUUUGUCUUGCCUGGUUUGUCAAUGAUUCCCUUCUUGUAGUUGGAAGAUUCUAUUCGGCUAACGGAAUGGAGUGGCCAUGGCGCUCUUGAAUCACAUCUGCGCCAGAGCUCCACGCAAAAAUCGAGGAAAAUCCUCGGAUCGAAGAAACCCAUACCUCGAAACACGGCAGGAGCCUCGGCCAUGCUGCCAACAUAUCACUAUUGCAUUGCAUUGGAGACAAGAACAGGCGGAUUUCCUGGUCCGCAUCUACAACAAGCCACAGAACCGUUACGGUACCACAAAACACAUUACUACCAGUUAAACCUUGGUGGAACGAGGAGUGCCAUCGGCUUCACACAGCAUACAAGCAGGCCAAACUAAGAGGACACUUAGCAGCACAGUCUCUGCGUUGAGAUUUCAGGAAAAUGGCUAGGGCAUGAGCUUGCUUCCACGCUAAAUGUUUCAGCAUGCUUGGGAAGUGAGGAAAGCUUACUGUAUUUUUAGCAAGCAUUGCUUUCCAGUGAUCACACUCUGGGUUCAAUAUAUCUGCCAGGUGCAUGAGCCAGCAACAGUUUUUACUUUCCCAAAA